GGUGUCCACAGCAUGGACACUCAGGAGCACCGUGGUGCUGGGGAGGAACUGGAAGGUCUGUGGGGACUCUGGCAGUUUGCUCAGACGAUUGAACAGCCAGAGCUUGGAAGUGGUAAUGGUUUGUUUCUUACGUUUGUAUUUGUUGAACAUUACGGAUGUGGGAGGGAAUCAGAGCCUGCCCUGGUCCCAGCAGUGUGGCAGUUUAAUGGAGGGCAGGUUGUUUUUUUUUUUAAUUCUGAGACAGAAGUCAGCUAUCAAGGGCAGGUUUUAUAGCCUUCCCGAGCUUCCGCUUCCUCAUCAGUGGGACGGUCUAGGCAGCUGACUCGGUGGUCACUGCAAAGUGACAGAGCCCGCAGGCAGAAGGAGCACCCCACUGUGGCAGAUGAGGUCCGGGCUGUGAUCAACAGCCUCAGAGCUCCUGUGGACCUAGCAUGUGCUUAGCGGACCAACACGACUGCAUCUUCUUGGUGGCACGUGACCACCUGGUCUUUGGUUGCCAAGCACUGCCUCAGCUCCGCCAUCCCCAGGAUGCCAUGCCAUUCUCCCCCAGAGUCAGGGGUCUGACUCACUGGCGGUAACUCUGACCUCAUCCUCGGCACCCACAGAGCUUUCAGGGAAACAGGUGUCCCACAUGUGAUGAGGAGGACCCUCUGGGUCUCUCUGGGGAUGUCAGGUAGGGGAGGUAGGUCGCCAAGGUAAGCUUGCCCCAGCAUCCUGCCCCUCACACCUGCAGGGAUACUCUGGUGGCUCGGCCGCCUUUGGCCACAUGAGCUGACACAUCAGGUCCUGGUCUCCACGAAGGUCCAAGGAUCCUCCUGGAGGUCCCCAGGUCCCGCAGCCCUCCAGUGGCUGCAUUUCCUGUGGCUGCUGCCUCUGUUGUGCCUUUAGCCCCUCUCAGGCUGGCACCUUUCAGCCGGCUGACAAUUCAGCCGCCGAAGAUCCUUGUUCAGACUAUGGGUUUGUCCAUGUGCUGGCCAAGCCUCCGACACAGGGCCAGCAGCUGUACCUCUAGGCCGUAGGCUAAUGGCUGGGAGGAGACAUAGCCCACAUGGAGCUCUGUGUGGGGGCAUCAGGCUCCCUCUGCACCUGGCAGGGAGGAGAGGCCUUGCCACUGCAUUGGCAGUGGCCCAGCCACUGCGUCUGCUCUGAGUAGUGCAGUGUGUCCCUGAGGGCGAUCCCUGGCCCUUGGCCAGUGUGGUGGUGGCGGCCUGGCCUCCUCCAGUGACCUGUUGGGGGCUGCUUCACACCAGACAGCUCAGCCUCUCCUCACGUCCCUCACCUGUCACUGUCAUCCUGUCACUGUGACCUUGGGACAGAGGUCCAGUGGUGUGUGGAAGAAGAGGCUGGACCAACAGGGGGAUGAGGGAGACCUGCCAGUGUGUAGCAG